rnacentral:rRNA from 1 species
UGCGCAGGCGGCGGCUCAAGUCAGGUGUGAAAUCCCCGGGCUUAACCUGGGAAUUGCGCUUGAAACUAGGUCGCUAGAGUGUGGCAGAGGGGGUGGAAUUCCACGUGUAGCAGUGAAAUGCGUAGAGAUGUGGAGGAACACCGAUGGCGAAGGCAGCCCCCUGGGUCAACACUGACGCUCAUGACAAGACUGGGGAGCAAACA